AUUGAACGCUGGCGGCAGGCCUAACACAUGCAAGUCGAACGAGUGGCGGACGGGUGAGUAAUGUCUGGGAAACUGCCCGAUGGAGGGGGAUAACUACUGGAAACGGUAGCUAAUACCGCAUACCAUCGGAUGUGCCCCGAUGGGAUUAGCUAGUAGGUGGGGUAACGGCUCACCUAGGCGACGAUCCCUAGCUGGUCUGAGAGGAUGACCAGCCACACGGGAACGGGGACACGGUCCAGACUACUACGGGAGGCAGCAGGGGGGAAUAUUGGACAAUGGGCGGAAGCCUGAUGCAGUGAUGCCGCGUGUAUGAAGAAGGCCUUCGGGUUGUAAAGUACUUUCAGCGAGGAGGCGUUACUCGCAGAAGAAGCACCGGCUAACUCCGUGCCAGCAGCCGCGGUAAUUC
rnacentral:rRNA from 1 species